UGGGGAAUAUUGCACAAUGGGCGAAAGCCUGAUGCAGCGACGCCGCGUGAAGGAUGAAGGCCUACGGGUUGUAAACUUCUGUUAGUUGGGAAGAAAAACUUAUCUCUAAUAAAGAUAGGGAAUGACUGUACCAGCAGAGAAAGCACCGGCUAAACUCGUGCCAGCAGCCGCGGUAAUACGAGUGGUGCAAGCGUUAUUCGGAUUUACUGGGCGUAAAGGGUGUGUAGGCGGCAAAUCAAGUCUAUUGUUAAAGAUCUCGGCCUAACCGGGAAAGUGCGAUGGAAACUGAUUUGAUAGAGAUUGGAAGAGAGAAGUGGAAUUCUCGGAGUAGCGGUAAAAUGCGUAGAUAUCGAGAGGAACACCGAUGGCGAAGGCAGCUUCUUGGUCCACAUCUGACGCUGAUACACGAAAGCGUGGGGAGCAAACAGGAUUAGAUACCCCCGUAGUCC
rnacentral:rRNA from 1 species